AGAAGGCGGGCUUUCCUGACGAUCAAUGGCAAUGCAUUCAGGUUUAACUGUGCGAGAAAAUUGUAGUCAGUGACUUGUAAAAACAACAAUGAAGAUGUAAUAAUGAAGACCGACUAUAAACAUUUGCCUUGCACAAAGAGAAAACUUAGAAAUAAGGAGAAGGACAGAGACCAUGACAGAGGUGACAACACAAGGUGAGUGAGCAUUUAUCUUAAAGCAGAAUAAACAAAAUGUCCGCACACUGAAAACUGCUCCACAGGUUUAAUAAAUAACCAGCAACGUUUCGA